AAUGAACGCUGGCGGCAUGCCUAACACAUGCAAGUCGAACGGCAGCACGGUAAGCUUUUGUUCCUGAGGGUAGCGGGGGGCGGGCGAGUGACAAAUACAUAACCAUCUUAUAAGACGGGGGGAACUUCGGGGAACAGGUGACAAUAACGGCGGAUAUUAUGAACGGGAGAGAUCAAAAGAUAAAGAUGGUCUUCGCGAUUCUUAUAGAUGGAGUCGCGCUGCAUUAGCUAGUUGGUAAGGUAACGGCUUACCAAGGCAACGAUGCGUAGCUGAGCUGAGAGGAUGAUCAGCCACACUGGAACUGAGACACGGUCCAGACUCCUACGGGAGGCAGCAGUGGGGAAUCUUGCACAAUGGGCGCAAGCCUGACCCAGCCAUGCCGCGUGAGUGAAGAAGGUCUUCGGGUCGUAAAGCUCUGUUGUUAGGGAAGAAAAGCUGUAUGUGAAUCUGUGCACAUCCUGACGGUACCUAAACAAUAAGCACCGGCUAACUACGUG
rnacentral:rRNA from 1 species